rnacentral:rRNA from 1 species
GCGUGAGUGAUGAAGGCCUUAGGGUUGUAAAGCUCUUUCGCACGCGACGAUGAUGACGGUAGCGUGAGAAGAAGCCCCGGCUAACUUCGUGCCAGCAGCCGCGGUAAUACGAAGGGGGCUAGCGUUGUUCGGAAUUACUGGGCGUAAAGCGCGCGUAGGCGGUCAUGUAAGUCAGGGGUGAAAUCCCAGAGCUUAACUCUGGAAUGGCCUUUGAGACUGCAUGGCUCGAGAGCGGGAGAGGUGAGUGGAAUUCCCAGUGUAGAGGUGAAAUUCGU